CCUACGGGAGGCUGCAGUCGAGAAUCAUUCACAAUGGGGGAAACCCUGAUGGUGCGACGCCGCGUGGGGGAAUGAAGGUCUUCGGAUUGUAAACCCCUGUCAUGUGGGAGCAAAUUAAAAAGAUAGUACCACAAGAGGAAGAGACGGCUAACUCUGUGCCAGCAGCCGCGGUAAUACAGAGGUCUCAAGCGUUGUUCGGAAUAACUGGGCGUAACGCGUGCGUAGGCUGUUUCGUAAGUCGUGUGUGAAAGGCGCGGGCUCAACCCGCGGACGGCACAUGAUACUGCGAGACUAGAGUAAUGGAGGGGGAACCGGAAUUCUCGGUGUAGCAGUGAAAUGCGUAGAUAUCGAGAGGAACACUCGUGGCGAAGGCGGGUUCCUGGACAUUAACUGAUGCUGAGGCACGAAGGCCAGGGGAGCGAAAGGGAUUAGAUACCCGAGUAGUC
rnacentral:rRNA from 1 species